GCGGACAUAGCUCAGUUGGGAGAGCGUCAGACUGAAGUGGAAUUCGUUCCUCUGAACUUCAUUCAAUAUAUCUGAAGGUCGUGUGUUCAAUCCACACUGGCCGCA
rnacentral:tRNA from 1 species